rnacentral:misc_RNA from 1 species
AGCAGCCGCGGUAAUUCCAGCUCCAAUAGCGUAUAUUAAAGUUGUUGCAGUUAAAAAGCUCGUAGUUGAAUUUCGGGAUCAAUAUGUUGGUCGUGCCUCGGUACGUACUAGCAUAUUGGUUUCUCCUUUCUGAAGAACCAUGAUGUCAUUUAUUUGGUGUCGUGGGGAAUCAGGACUGUUACUUUGAAAAAAUUAGAGUGUUUAAAGCAGGCUCACGCUUGAAUACAUUAGCAUGGAAUAAUGAAAUAGGACGUUUGAUUCUAUUUUGUUGGUUUCUAGGAUCGACGUAAUGAUUAAUAGGGAUAGUUGGGGGCAUUAGUAUUCAAUUGUCAGAGGUGAAAUUCUUGGAUUUAUUGAAGACUAACUACUGCGAAAGCAUUUGCCAAGGAUGUUUUCAUUAAUCAAGAACGAAAGUUAGGGGAUCGAAGACGAUCAGAUACCGUCGUAGUCUUAACCAUAAACUAUGCCGACUA